rnacentral:lncRNA from 1 species
GCCGUCCAAGUGGAGCAUGGACAUCAGUCCAUGUAGAAUUGAAGCCACCAUCUUCACCAAGCAGAAUGGUUGUGCUAGUUCAAUUUUUUCAGUCCAUCUUCUGUGUGCUAUUCAGUACAUCUAAUGCCAAAUCGUAAGUACAAUUGCCUCAUCUUCAUAUAACAUAAUUCAAUUUAUAAUGUUGUUUACUGUCCUAAUUUUUUGGUACCAGUAACCUUCCUAUAUACAUAUGCAGCAUCAGUUCAGCCGCUGUUAUGGUAAUAAGUAGUUUAGUAACUAGAAAAACAACAAAAAGUUGGUUCACUUUUUUUUCUCAGAAGCUUUUUUGGUUCACCUUGUAUAUGGUUUUUCAGUUGACCUUGUAUAUGCCUUUUCAGUUCAUUGUACAUGUUUCAAAAGGAGCUCCCUUAGUUUUAGUAGAUGUGGAGAUUGGUAAAAUCUAAAGUUCAACUUUUCUGAUGGGGCACUUCAUAAAGCAAAGAAAAAAGAAAGCAGAGCAAAAGUGAAGAAAAAGAAAAGAAAACCAAAGUGGUUCUGAGAAGAAAAUGCCUACUAUCUAGUAAUACAUUCUCUCAUUAGUCUAUGGUUAUUUGUUCAUGAGAAUGAAAAAACAGUGGUACUAUACAAAUUACGUGAGCUGUUCAUAUAAAAAAAAUGCCUCAGUUUGUGUAACAUCAGUUCUAACUUUUGUAGCUUGAUAAAUGAUUAGAAGUCAAUCUGAAUUCAUUUUGAUCCAUUCUCUUGCGAUUUUAGGCUGAACUCCAAUACUUGCAUCCGCCACCCUAACGUUGGCGUGUUCCCUCGGUCCUCUCUCGACAAAUCCAACAGUACAGGUUCUUCGGAACGCCAAGUAUUUCCUGCGGCGAUGCCUGCAUCAUGGCCCAUUGAGGAGAUCUUGUGUAUUCCACAUAGAAGAAAUAUUGUCAGUUCAUGAAUAGAAAAUUUAUGUACCAGACUUAAUAUUAGUUUGGUGCGUAUUCUAUCUUCAGUCCAUGAAAAAUCACAGAAUAGUUGGUGUGUGUGCAGAAAUAUCGUCAGUGCAAGUUUCAAAAUUCUGUAACUUUAGUUAUAUCACCUAAAUAAGUAAUGAUUUGUAGCGAGUCCAUGAAAAAUCACAGAAUAGUUGGUGUGUGUGCAGAAAUAUCGUCUGUGCAAGUUUCAAAAUUCUGUAACUUUAGAUAUAUCACCUAAAUAAGUAAUGAUUUGUAGCGAGUUUCUUCAAAAUUCAGUAAAGUUUAGAUAUAUCACCCUAAUAUCGUCAGUGCAAGUUUCAAAAUUCUGUAAGUUUAG